AUUAUUCAUGCAACCUGAUUGGGACCAAAAGCUUUCUUUUCCAGGAGAGGUGCAUAUUCAUCGGGAGUUGAUUCAAUCCAAUGAGUCGCUUACUUUUGGAGAAUACACCGAGAAGCUCCUUGACAAGUAUUACCACCUCAAGAUGUAAAGCUGAUAUAGUUGUUACCACAAUAGAUUUGAAAAGCUCCUUCAUUCCUCUGUUUGAGGAUUCACCUGAUAGCAGUACAAAAACAGUUACUUAUAAUUGCAAUAGUGAUAUUAUGAAAUGGGACUUUUGUCAUUCUAAUAAAGAAAAGCUCCUGUCCUUACAAAAGCUAGUUGAUUAGGUUUUGGUAAAUAAUUCUUUCAGUGUUGAAUAAUUAUGAUAAUGCCUUAGAUCUUCAUGUACUCG
rnacentral:misc_RNA from 1 species